rnacentral:lncRNA from 10 species
CUGAGAUUACAGGCGUGAGCCUGGCCUUAUUUUUUAGAGACAGACUUGCUCUGUUGCCCAGGCUGGAUGAGGUGAUGAGAUCAUAGCUCACUGCAGCCUUGGGCUCAAGUGGUCCUCCUGCCCCUGCCUCUUGAAUAGCUGGGACUGCAGUUCUGCACCACCACAUCCAGCUACGCGCAUGCUUUCUGAUGCCUGGUUCAGCAGACAUGGAGGCUAUGGGGGCUGUCUUGGGGUGAUCAUCGUGAGGAUGGCCUGGAAUAUUUAUGUGCAUGUGUGUAAGCAUGUGUCUCAAGGAGGCUCCAGGCUGCUGACCCCAGAGCCAGCUCUCUCCUUAUGAAAUAACACCUCUUAGAUCCAUAAGACUUUACAAAAAUUUUUAUUCUGUUUACACAGGACCUUGUCUCAUUCAAUCCUUCCAAUUACCAAAAGAAGCAGGCAAGACAAACUGUUACACCCAUUUUAUGGGUUAGAAUGAUUUACUCCAAGAGAGAUGCACUUGCCUAAGACCAUCAGCUGUAGAGCUGGGCUAAUCCCAGUGCAUGACUCUUCCAUGAAUUGUGUGUUAAUUAUUUAUUUAUUGAGAGAGGGUCUUGCUCUGUCCCCCAGGCUGUAGUACAGUGGCAUGAUCACAGCUCACUGCAGCCUCAACCACCUGGGCUGAAGUGAUCCUCCCACCUCAGCCCCACAAGUAACUGGGACUACAUGCACACACCACCACAUCUGGCUAAUUUUUGUAUUUUUUUUAGAGACGAGGUUUUGCCAUGUUGCCCAGGCUGGUUUUGAACUCCUGGGCUCAAGUGAUCUGCUCAUCUUGGCCUUCCAAAGUGCUGGGAUUACAGGUGUGAGCCACCGUGCCCAGCCCCAUUUAUUUCACGAACAACUAACUACUCACUGACCACCUAGCAUGUGUCAGCCACUGUCCCAGGAACUUCUACUCACCGGCUUGCUCUCCUGAGAGAAGUGUGUUCAAGGCCCCUGCCCCUGCCACUAAGGAUGAGUUUUAAGUGAUGGAAUUAACAAGCCACGACUCUACUGCACAUUAAAAGGCAGGUGGCAGCACAGUGUGGCAGUUAAGAGCUGUGCUCCUCGGCCGGCCGCAGUGGCUCAUGCCUGUAAUCCCAGCACUCUGGGAAGCCAAGGCAAGCGGAUCACCUGAGGUCAGGAGUUCGAGAUCAGCCUAGCCAAUAUGGUGAAUCCCUGUCUCUACUAAAAAUACAAAAAUUAGCUGGGUGUGGUGGCACACGCCUGUAGUCCCAGCUACUCGGGGGGCUAAGGAAGGAGAAUCGCUUGAACCCAGGAGGUGGAGGUUGCAGUGAGCCGAGAUCUCACCAUUGCACUCCAGCCUGGGCAACACAGUGAGACUCUGUCUUGAGAAAAAAAAAAAAAAAAAAAAAGUCGGCCGGGCGCAGUGGUUCACGCCUGUAAUCCCAGCACUUUGGGAGGCCGAGGUGGGUGGAUCACGAGGUCAGGAGAUCGAGACAAUCCUGGCUAACACGAUGAAACCUCAUCUCUACUAAAAAUACAAAAAAUUAGCCAGGCGUGGUGGUGGGCGCCUGUAGUCCCAGCUACUUGGGAGGCUGAGGCAGGAGAAUGGCAUGAACCCGUGAGGCAGAGCUUGCAGUGAGCAGAGAUCGCGCCACUGCACUCCAGCCUGGGCAACAAAGCGAGACUCCGUCUCAAAAAAAAAAAAAAAAACAUACACAUACACACACAAAAAGUCAGCUGGGGGUGGUGGCACACGCCUGUAAUCCCAACUACUGGGGAGGGUGAGGCAGGAGAAUCCCUUGAACCUGGGAGGUGGAGGUUGCAGUGAGCCAAGAUUGAGCUACUGCACCUCCAGCCUAGGCAACAGCGAGACUCUGUCUCUCUCUCCUACACACACACACACACACACACACACACACACACACACACACAAACACAAAGAAAAAAGAAAAAAAGAAAAACAAAAGAGCUGUGCUCCAGAGUCAGACUGUCCUUGAGUCCCAGCCCUGCCAUCCAGUAUGUCAAUUCCCUGUAUUUCCUCAUGCACAAAACAAGGGUAUAAUUAUGCCAGUCAUAUAGGGCUGUUGUAAGGAUUGACUGAGUUAAUAUAGGUAACGCAAUUACAACCCUGCCACUACACAGUAAGAGCCCAGCAAAUAUGAACUGCUACAAUUUUAAAGUUCCUUAGCAUUGUCUUGAAACAAGGGGAAGUUAAAACAAAACAAAAAAAAAGUCCCUGGCCGAGCAUGGUGGCUCACACUGGUAUUUCCAGCACCAUGGGAGGACAAGGCAAGCGGAUCACUCGAGGCUAGGAUUUCAAGACCAGCCUAGGCAACAUAGCGAGAACCUGUCUCUACAAAAAAAUUUAAAAAUUAGCAGGGCGUGAUGGUGCGUGCCUGUGGUCCCAGCUACUGGAGAGUCUGAGGCUGCAGUGAGCUAGAAUUUUGCCACCACACUCCAGCCAGAGCCACAGAGUCAGAUCCUGUCUCAAAAGAAAAAGGCUCUUUUAAGGUUGGGCGCGGUGGCUGACACCUGUAAUCCCAGCACUUUGGGAGGCCAAGGCGGGCAGAUCACCUGAGGUCAGGAGUUUGAGACCAGCCUGGCCAACAUGGUGAAACUCUGUCUCUACUAAAAAUACAAAAAUUAGCCAGGCGUGGUGGCAGGUGCCUGUAAUCCCAGCUACUCAGGAGGUUGAGGUGGGAGAAUCUCUUGAACCUGGGAGACAGAGGUUGCAGUGAACUGAGAUCGCGCCACUGCACUCCACUCUGGGUGACAGAGUGAGACUCCGUCUCAAAAAACAAACAAAAAAAGUCCUCUCCCAAGGCCAUGCUCCUGGUGGCAGCUGGCACCCAAAGGCUGAGCACUUGAGCAGAAUGGAAGCCUGACCACCUGCCCUGACUUAGAACAACUCUGCCGGGCUAAGCUGGCGGAGGCGCACACUGGGCUUGCAUUGCUGCUCAACCUCUCCCUCUGCUCCAGUCUGUCACCUGGGCCUGCUUUCCUGGGUGUUGAUCCCAGGAGCAACCACAAUAAAUGCCCUGCAUGUUGGCCUCUCCAAGCCGCUUCCCAAGGAACCCAACCUGUGACAGGCACAGCAGAUGCAGAGAUGACUAAGCCACAGUCUGGCCUUCAAGAAUGUCAAGGCCAAGUGGGAACUGCGAUCUCAUGCAGCUCGCUGGGGUUAGCACAAAGUGCAAUGAAGCCUGGUUGGAGGGGCUGGAAUUGAGGGAGUCCAGGCUGCUCACACGACUUUCAUGGAAUCAUAAAAUUGGAAGCCACCCCGGAGGCCCAUCUAGUGCUGCCUCCUACCUCAGGGAGGGCCCUUCUCUACAGCCUGUCAGGGCCGAACAGUCCCACUGACUGGGAACUCUCAGAAGACAGCCUGAGCUAGUCACUUUCCUUCCUUUGAGCCCAAACUGAUCUAUCUCUGGAGUCACUGAUUGAAAUAUCACUUCUUUUCCCAUAUGAUAGUCCUUCAAAUCAGAUGGUCACACAAGAGUCACUUUUUUGAGUGCUGAUACAUUGUUCUUGUCAGCAAAUCCUCAUAACAAUCCUAUAAAGAAACCAAGAAGGUGCUCAGAAAGGUUGAGGAAUUUGCUGUGGCUACCUUCUGCUACCAGCUGUGGUUAUUUCUGCUACCAGCAACAGAGCUGAGAUCUGAUAUUCGACUCCAACUCCAGUGCUCUUGAAGCACAAAAGCAGAUUUGGCAUCACAGAACCCUCCAGAUGCAUUCCCAAGGACUCUAAGGAGUUGAGAGAACUCCUCUAGGGUUCACUAUUGGUGAGGGGCUCAGAGGCUGGAAGCCUGGCAAGUAGGCAGGCAUGAUCCUAUAACGGAUGGCUCCCUGAUACACCCACCUGCAGGUCUGAAGUUGGAAGAGAAUUAUGAGGGCUGUGAGCAAGCUCUCUGGAGUGCUGAGCUAAGGGUGCCCAUGGCCACAGACAUGGGAGGAAGGAUGCCAAGGAGGCAGGCACAUUAGUCGUCCUUCUGCCAGCUUCACCAGUCCACAGAGCCUUGCUGUCUUUAUCUUCUUUAACCCCCGAAACAGGGCUCUCUCCCCGGCGACCCAUACCAUGCUACCCUCAGCAGCUCAGAGUUAAGAUUCUUUGGUCAAGCUUUUUUUUUUUUUUUCUUGAGAAGAAGUCUCGCUCUGUCGCCCAGGCUGAGUGCAAUGGCACGAUCUCAGCUUACUGCAACUUCCGCCUCCCAGGUUCAAGCUAUUCUCCUGCCUCAGCCUCUUGAGUAGCUGGGACUACAGGCAUGUGCCACCACACCUGGCUAAUUUUUGUAUUUUUAGUAGAGACGGGGCCUCCCUAUGUUGGCCUGGCUGGUCUUGAACUCCUGACCUCAGGUGACCUGCCCACCUUGGCCUCCUAAAGUGCUGGGAUUACAGGCGUGAGCCACUGCUCCUGGCCUGGUCGAGCUUUUUGACUACAAUCUGCAUGAAGGCGGCAAGUUCUUUCUGCUGACUUUGUUGUCACUGAGAGCAACGCAAUAUGUCUGUUUUAUUUUUUUCUUUUGAGAGAAGUGGUCUUGCUAAGUUUCCCAGGCUGGCCGCAAACCCCUGGGCUCAAGCAAUCCUCCCACCUUGGCCUCCCCAACAGCUGGGACUACAGGUGCGUACCACUGUGCUCAGCUCAAAUGUCUCUAUUUUAACGUCCUCUGCAUAACAAUGACAUAUAACAGCUAACUCCUCAAGAAAUAAUAUUUAUAAAUGAUACUACCUGUGUUCAACAUCUCUCCCCUCUUAAAGAUUGCUUCAUUUGAAAAGAAAGUGUUCUAUGCCUUCCUGUUAGACCCUGUCCUAAAUUCCCUAUUUCCCAGGCCCCUCCUAUAUGGUUAGAGGAAAUAUAAAGAACAUGCAAUCACCCAAGCAAAGUGAGGACAAAGAUGGUUUCUCUUCAGUGCUGAGUCUAGAGAGCAGAGAAGCAGGGCAAGCCGGAGCCAGAUAUGACUGGAGAAAGCAGCUGGCCACGUGUGAGGCCAGGUUACACAAUCAGUUCAACUGCCCAUCAGUGGGGGCUGUGACGACAGAACCCAAGACCCCUUCAGCUGAGGCUGAGCCCAGGCUAGGGCUAACAGCACCGCAAUGAUGCCAAUACACUGCCCUUCAUUCCACUGGCUCAGCCCACCCCAAGGUCAGAGCUGGGGCAGUGGGGGAAUCUAUAACCC